AAGUUACAUUUAUAUGAUUCUCGUAUAGGUGCAGGGAUAGGCCUGCAUGUCUCUACCCGAUCACCGAAAUGAUUGGACUACGGGUUAAUAAUAUAUUGUC
rnacentral:ncRNA from 1 species